rnacentral:rRNA from 1 species
UACGUAGGGUGCAAGCGUUUGUCCGGAAUUAUUGGGCGUAAAAGAGCUCGUAGGCGGUUUGUUGCGUCGGCUGUGAAAUCCCGAGGCUCAACCUCGGGUCUGCAGUCGAUACGAGCAAACUAGAGUGUUGCAGGGGAGACUGGAAUUCCUGGUGUAGCGGUGAAAUGCGCAGAUAUCAGGAGGAAACACCCGGUGGGCGA